GACGAACGCUGGCGGCGUGCCUAAUACAUGCAAGUCGAACGCAGUGGGGACGGGUGAGUAACACGUGGGUAACCUCCCAUCAGAGGGGAUAACCCUUGGAAACAGGUGCUAAACCGAUACUGAUGGAUGGACCCGCGGUGCAUUAGCUAGUUGGUGAGGUAACGGCCAACCAAGGACACGAUGCAUAGCUGGCCGGAGAGGGUGAUCGGCCAGUCUGGACCUAGCAAAGGGCCCAGACUACUACGGGAGGCAGCAGUAGGGAAUCUUCGGCAUUUGACGAAAGGCUGACAGAGCAACGCCGCGUGAGUGAAGAAUGUUGUCGGAUCGUAAAACUCUGUUGUUAGAGAAGCGGUAUCUAACCAUAAAGCCACGGCUAACUACGUGCCAGCAGCGCGGUAAUAC
rnacentral:rRNA from 1 species